rnacentral:lncRNA from 1 species
GCUACUCUGGGCUGCUACAACAAAGGCUGCUCCUUCCGAUACCAUUACCCGUGUGCCAUUGACGCAGAUUGUUUGCUGCAUGAGGAGAAUUUCUCGGUGAGGUGCCCCAAGCACAAGAACAAGACCGCAAAAGGCAGCCUCAGCACAGAGCAGUCGGAGCGGGGGUGAGGGGGGAAGUGUGCACGUGGGAAUGGACAGCAAGCACAGGUGAGACUGUGGAGAUGAGAAGGUGGUGGACACACUUGUUGGAAUGGAAUCCUCCUGCUGUGCAACCACACCCCACUCUGCCCUGCCCUGCACCCCGCUGCGCCUGCCCAUGCCAGCACUUCCCUCCUAUGUUCUCACAUCUCACUCAAACUGGUGACACCACAGGAAAAGAAAGACACAAGAUGUUGGAAUGGCUGUUUCCAUGGACACAAUCUCCAUAGUGACAAUGUGGGGAGGGGGGAGGGGUGGGCUGAUGGGGAAACGGGGAGUUAAAAGGGAGGGAUAAAAAAUAUAUAUAUAUAAAUCU